rnacentral:lncRNA from 1 species
UUACUGCCCCUGAAUUGGUAAUUUUAAAGAAAUUUUGCUGUUUUUGGUUAUUAUCUUGAAUAUUAUUAUAGAUAGAGAUAAACUGUAAACAGGAAUAAUGUUCAGCAAAGUAAGAUUUACAAAUAAGUCAACUUGACGGAAAUGGUCAGUUGACCCCUUUAGGAGUUAUUGCCCUUUAUAGUCAAUUUUUAACCAUUUUUCGUAAAUCUUAGUAAUCUUUUACAAAAAUCUUCUCCUCUGAAACUACUGGGCCAAAUACUUCCAAACUUUAACUGAAUGUUCCUUAGGGUAUCUAGUUUGUAAAUUGUAUCCGAAGUUAUGAUCUAUCAACAAACAUGGUCGCCAUUGCUAAAAAUAGAACAUAGGGGUCAAAUGCAGUUUUUGGCUUAUAACUCAAAAACCAAAGCAUUUAGAGCAAAUCUGACGUUGGGUAAUAUUGUUUAUCAGGUCAAGAUCUAUC